rnacentral:lncRNA from 1 species
ACCAGGGCUCCCACCAUCUCAUCACAGAGCAAGCAGGGGUCUUGUCCUGGCAGCUGCCAUGUACCCUGAUUCAGCCAGGCUCUUGCAAGAACUACUCCGGAGACCUCGGGGCGCGAGUGGCCCUGCAUGAACUCUACAAGUACAUCAACAAGUACUAUGACCAGAUCAUCACUGCCCUGGAGGAGGAUGGCACGGCCCAGAAGAUGCAGCUGGGCUAUCGGCUCCAGCAGAUUGCAGCUGCUGUGG